rnacentral:RNase_P_RNA from 1 species
GUAGCCGCGCCGAAGCGCCCGAUGGGCGCGAAGGCGGGAGGAAAGUCCGAACUCCGAAGGGCAGUGCGCCGGGUAACGCCCGGUCAGGGCAACCUGAAGGAAAGUGGCACAGAAAAUAUACCGCCCGACUUCGCGCUUCGCGCUUCGUCGGGCAGGCCCGCGAGGGCUUGCCCGCCGUAGCUCGCCGCGGCCGCAAGGCUCAGGCGAGCGGAGGAGGGUAAGGGUGAAAAGGUGCGGUAAGAGCGCACCGCGCCCGUGGCAACACGGGUGGCAGGCAAAACCCCGCACGGAGCAAGGCCAAAUAGGGGAGCGCGUGGCACGGUGACGCCGCAAGGCGUUGGCGGCGCCGCAAUGGACGGCCCGUCCAGAGCUUCCGGGUAGGCUGCUUGAUCCCGCCAGCAAUGGCGGGGCUAGAGGAAUGAUCGUCACCCGCCGUAGCGCACGGCUGCGAGGCCGUGUGCGAAGGUGGGGACAGAAUUCGGCUUACGGCCGGCUGCGGCG